rnacentral:rRNA from 1 species
GUUGUAUGGUUAAGUGACUAAGCGUACACGGUGGAUGCCUGGGCAGUCAGAGGCGAUGAAGGACGU